rnacentral:lncRNA from 1 species
UACCUUUCUUCUCUCUUUAUCUUCCUUAAUUCUUUUCUUAGGCUCUUAUCCUAAAAUCAGAUUUCUCCUUACUAUUUUUGGACUUGUUCUAAUAAGAGAAAGAAGAGAUUAGUUGGACAAUAGGGAGAGUGCAUAAGAAAGAAGAGAUAAAUAUAAUUUUUUGAAUGAAUCAAAUCUCCGACGUAGCCCCCUUUAAAUAGUUAGCGACGAGGUGCCUUUGGGAAUGAUUCGUGCCCCCUCCAUGUGCCAUCUCGCAUCCAUCAAAAAAUAUCACACCCC